rnacentral:piRNA from 1 species
AUCUUCUCGGANCUGCUGUCCAACCUGUAC